GGAAGCUGAAGUUUUGGUUUUAGUUAACAUAAAUUAGUUGGGUAUCAAUGUAAAUUCUCUUAAUGUGUGAUGCAUCUUAAGGCAAGUGAUAAUUUCAGCCAGUCCCUUAGAGGUUUGUAUGUUAUAUGUGAUCUGCUCAUUAUAACUUUAAAAUCUACAUCUUAGCUUAUGUCCCAAAUGGCACAGGGGAAUUGAAAUAGACUGGAUAGAAUUGGUGUUUUCUAUAUCACUGGGCUUAUAUCUAAUGUUCUUAUUAUCUAAAUAAAGAGAAUACCAGCAAACUCUCAGACCGAAAAUGAUCAGUUUAUACCUCAUUUAUAAGAAGGAAGUGUUCUUCCUUAG
rnacentral:misc_RNA from 1 species